UUGCUUAAGUAGCCCUUGCGCUGAAACUGGAACGACACCGUGAAGAUUGGCGUGGCCCCUGUGCAAGGAUGACUUGACACAUGGAGAUUGUUCUUAAAACAUG